AUUACCUAAAACAACAAAAGCCCUACCUCUCUUUUGUCCUAACGGCUCCUUGACCGUGCCAGUGUGAAUCAGGCUAUUUAAAGUCAA
rnacentral:sRNA from 1 species